rnacentral:SRP_RNA from 1 species
UAGUGGUGAGAGCGGGCGAUUUGAGUCGCUAAUCUGGUCAGGUUCGAAAGAAAGCAGCCAUAAUGAUUUGCAUCGGGUCGCUCUCAUCACUUGCA